rnacentral:rRNA from 1 species
GACGGAGGGUGCUAGCGUUGUUCGGAAUCACUGGGCGUAAAGGGCGCGUAGGCGGCCCAUGCCGUCGGCUCGUGAAAGCCCGGGGCUCAACCCCGGAGGUGCGGCCGAGACCCAUGAGCUGGAGGCCGGAAGAGGAGGGUGGAAUACCCAGUGUAGAGGUGAAAUUCGUAGAUAUUGGGUGGAACACCGGUGGCGAAAGCGGCUCUCUGGUCCGGUUCUGACGCUGAGGCGCGAAAGCGUGGGGAGUAAACAGG